GAAUAGGUGAAAGGUAGCGCACCUGAUAAUAUGGCUCAAUCCCAUCAGACCAAACCAUGAAGGAUACAACGAGAAAAGGAAAACACAUAGAAUACUAAUGAAGUACAUGUGAUAAUUCUGGGCUUUUACAACACAGGGCCUAUGAUGCAGCAGAAGUCCACUCAUAAUUUUGAGUGGAAAGGAUUAAUCCCAUAUGAAAUGGAAAGUUCCUUGCUUUGUUAAGCCAAUCAUAAACAGGGAAAACUGCAUAUGCUACAAGCAAAUGUGGAAAAUGAAAAUUUUAAAUGCUUGCUUUUAGUUUUCAUUUUCAGAAAAAUUGUCAAGCCAAUGACAUAUUUUUCUACCACUCUUCAUAAUAACAUUAACAUUGAAAGAAAAGUAGAGUUCUUUCAGGGGAGCCCUGACACAGUGGGGAAAAAAAAAAAUCAC
rnacentral:misc_RNA from 1 species